rnacentral:rRNA from 1 species
CAGUCGCCGCGGUAAUACGGAGGGUGCAAGCGUUAAUCGGAAUUACUGGGCGUAAAGCGUGCGUAGGUGGUGGUUUAAGUCCGUUGUGAAAGCCCUGGGCUCAACCUGGGAAUUGCAGUGGAUACUGGGUCACUAGAGUGUGGUAGAGGAUAGUGGAAUUUCCGGUGUAGCAGUGAAAUGCGUAGAGAUCGGAAGGAACAUCUGUGGCGAAGGCGACUAUCUGGGCCAACACUGACACUGAGGCACGAAAGCGUGGGGAGCAAACAGGAUUAGAUACCCCAGUAGUCCCUGUCUCUUAUAC